CGCGAGGGUUUGCAGGGACCUGGCCCGCUUAGGGACGCGUGGUUCAGUCAGGUCCAAGGCUGGUGAGCACCUCAACCGCUGGGAACGAAGCUCAGGCCUCUUGGCACUAGUGGUUAAAAAGAGGCACCCAUCUGCUCCCUGCCACCUCCGCCACAGACGGGCAAUGGGGCGAAGAGGAAAAGCAAACACCAGGCGCCGCGGCAGGUGUUCCACGUGUCCAUAGCGUUUACGUCACAAUGACCUGGCCGACAGGUGGGAGCCGCAGCGAACGCCCCAGGGUUCCCUCUGCGUAGUGCGUGGUGCGUCCUACUCGGUUCCACGUAAGACUUCUGUGGCUUUAGAAACAGGAGACUUCAUGACUUCAGUGCCAAGAAAAGUUCCAGGGGCCUGAAUCUGGUAACCAACUUUGAGCUUAAAGGAAAAAGGCUGUGUGAAAAAGCAACUGUGUUUUCUUGAAUUAGGAGCUAAGACUACCACCUGGGCAUGCUGGAUUCUUUGGAUUCUUUGUGCAAUCAGGGCAAAGAUCCUUGGCAAGCUGUGGUAUUGGCCAAAAGCCAGAAGAACUUGGAACAAGCAGAGGAGGAAUCUAUCUCAUAUGUCAGCAGCAGUCUUGUGAAUGCCUGCAGAAUGGAAGAUUGCAGCUUGCAUCAGUAUUUCCUUGCUAAAUAUUCAUUGAGCUAUCCAGAAGACUGAGGAAGUCAGAGGCGGGAAGAACACGGCCAUGGGCCUUCAUUCCUCUUACUAUCAAAAAAAAAAAAAUCCAUAUCCUCUAACACAGCCCAGCUC